GCAGAACGACAGAUUUUUACCUGGUCAGCUCGGAGGAUUUGAUCUUGCGACCUUUCGGUUACUGGUCCAACACUCUAACCACUAGGCUAUGCUGCCGCCCCCAUUUAGAGGUUAAUGUGGAAAGGGAGGUUUGAUUUACUCUAGUAUUUAAAUAUCAUGUGACGCCACUAUUUAAAUACCUUUAUUUAAAUUCUUAUUUACAAUGAUGGCCUACCCUGGGCUAUACCCGGAUGAUGCUGGGCCAGUUGUGCGCCGCCCUAUGGGACUCCCAAUCACAGCUGGAUUCGAGCCAGGGACUGUAGUGAUGCUUCUUGCACUGAGAUGCAUUGCCUAGACUGCUGCGCCACUUGGGAGACCAAUCAUGUGACGCCGCUGUUCAUCAUGCCGCUUCACCUGGACUGCUAUUCCCACAGUCUUGAAGGAGUUCCCACAUAUGCUGAGCAUUUGUUGGCUGCUUUUCCUUCACUCUGCGGUCCAACACCUCCAAUAAUAUGGACUUGGUCUUUUACCAAAUAGGGAUAUAAUUCUGUAUACCCCCCUACCUUGUCACAACACACCUGAUUGGCUCAAACGCAUUAAAGAAAGAAAUUCCACAAAUUAACAUUUAACAGGGCACACCUACUAAUUGAAAUGCAUUCUGGGUGACUACCUCAUGAAGCUGGUUGAAAGAAUGCCAAGAUAAAUGGCAGAUUCAUAUAUCAUGAAGCUGUCAUAUGACACCGCUGUUUGUAUAUAACGAUGCCAUCAGUUACACGGUGGGUUUGGUGUUCGGAAGAUGGCUGUAUUUGUGUGUGUGUCAUGGCGUAGUCGGAGCAUGAAAUCUGUCAUCAUGGGACCAGUGGUGCAUUAUGGGAACUAUGGCUUGGCGGUCCUUUCACUCUGGUCUGUAUGUGUGAAUCCCACCCCUCCUGUGAUCAGGGACCUCCUUUUCUCUGCCGGCUGAGCACACUGCAUCAGCCGCUGGGCUGAGAUUUGCCUCACAUCCCUCUUUGAUACUGAGGCCGAGCUCCAUGCCACCCAGGACCUCUAAGAAUAUCUAGAAGACCGUUCACUCUACUACCGUCCAGCAAAUGGUACCUGAGCAUUAAGACUGCUAAAUAGUUCAUUAAUGGUUACCCGGACAACCUGCACAUUCACCAGACUUUACAGUGAAUUUGGAAAGUAUUCAGACCCCUUGACUUUUUCUAUAUUUCGUUUACAUUACAGGCCUAUUCUAAAAUGGAUAAAAUUAUUGUUUUCCCUCAUCAAUCUACACACAAUAUCCCAUAAUAACAAAACAGAAACCGCUUUUUAGAAUUUUUUGGCAA
rnacentral:lncRNA from 1 species